CUGAAACCAUUCCACGGUGCCAAUAAGGACGCGGAUCUCAGGACGUGCAGGACGAGGCAGCGCAGCAAGGACACAGAGUGAAGCACAUUUUAAUGAGGGGACGCAGAUAAAGAGUGAACAGACGCGUAGACAGCGAGAAGAAAAUCAGCAGUAUCCAGUAUUUCAUCGGGUAAGUAAUCAAACUAACCCUCAAUUCAACCAUGACUGAAAGGUUGUAUCAAGUUGUAUUGUAAAAACUUGCUUGAGUGCAUCUCGGUUUUUUUUUUAAAUGUUCUGUUAAAGCUUCACAUAGGUCAUGAUUUAUUGUUCGAAUAAACAGAUAACCUCGUAUGUGAUCUUCUCUUAUCAAACAGCUUAAGUGUGAGAAGAGGAGGUGUGUGUUUGUGGGAGGGUGCCUGAUUAUGACACUGUCUGGCAACGCAUGGAAGACACUAUUACUGACAACAGCCUGCCACACUCGAUUAUUUACGCGUGAAUAAGUCACCAAUUCUUCUUCUUAUCUUUCUUCUGCGUUAAUUAGCAGCAAGAUUUAUGGUCCAAUAAUGCGAUUUAUAAGCAUGUUUAACCUCAUGCUACCAACUUUAACACAUUUCAAUAGCCUAGACAAGGAGGAAACGCCACCGCCCCUUUCGCACAGCUUAAAGUUGUUCAAGGAGACAGAGACACGAGUGAUGCGCGCAGUGCUCCAGAUGAAAGCUCAGAUUAGCCCGUCUGGCGUAGUCCGAGCAUUUCAUUCAAACUUCCACCUGUACGCGCGCACAGGACUCCACCUCACACACUCUGUACCUGUAGCAUAGGCGCAAGGAGAUUUAACAAUCCGGUUAGGGAACUUCUUUAAAUAACAAGUUCAGGCAUGGGAAAGCGUUAAGUGUCGUGAAAGUUGUUUAUGAUUCAUAAAAAGCAUAAACCAGUAAUGAAAAGACGUUUCUCGUUGUACAAGUGCUAGCAUGUAAGAGGAAGAUUGUUUACAACACUGGAUUUCUUACAAAUUUCAACUUAACUUAGAGUACCAAGUUAUUAUCUUUAUUUUUUUUUGUUAUUUUCUUAGAAGUUUGAGUUACUAAGUCCAAAAAAUUGAGAUAACAAUCCAACAUUUUGGCUAUUUUAUUUAUUUAUUUAUUUAUUGUAGUGGCAAAAAUAAACAGCCAUAAAACAUGUUAGAGGAAAUUAAAAACAGAAAUCAUCAAAGAUUUCUUUUUUUUUUUUUUUGUAAGAAAAAACCUCUUAUUUGAAAUAUAGUUCAACAGUUACAUAAAUGUUACAUCAAAAAGAGGACUUGUUUCAUAAAGGUGCAGCAUCAGCGUCUCAUAGACACUGAAAUAAAACAUGUUGAGUUACUAGCUGGCUAGCAUGUUGACGUGACAUGAGAUUUUCCAUCUAUUUGGUGUAAUCAUGCAAGUUAAUUUUAUGAAAAAUAUAUUUUGCAGUGUUUAAGAAUUAGUUCAAAUAUGACAUUUAGAUCGAGUACUAGGCCCACUGCACUUUUCAACAGGAGCCGCUCGGGCAUAGAAACCCAUGAAGCUCCCAGCUGAUAGUUUAGUGCUGAUGUUAAUGCCAGAGAAAGUUUUGGAAGUUUAUUGACCCCACUUUGUAACUUUACGUGGUUUGACACUCCCUGGCUGAGUUGCUGUGGCUCUAAAAUGCUUCCACUUUGCAAAAACACAACAUAUGUUUUUAAAUGUGGAAUAUCUAGAAUGGAAGAAAUUUCACAAAUUGAUAUUUUAUAGUGGUAACACCCAUGCUCAAAUCCAUCUGGAUGAGAUUAAUUUGAGCAUCUUUACAUUCCUUUGUUUGAUUUAUGAGCAGCUGAAUAGCUGACAGAUUUCUGUGGAGUUAAAAACAACUUGUCUCGUGAAUACAGAGAGAAGUAGAGGUUUAAAAUGAGCGGGCCUAUCACUGCCUGAUCCGUCUUUUCUUUGAAUAUUCAAGGGAAGAUGUUCUAAAAGCUGUUUUAUCCUCCAUCUCUGAUGAAUAUGAAUAAAAGCUGACUGCAUGCUGCUACGAAUGCACACAGAGACAUCUGCAGGUAGACGUGCACAGAGUGUGCGUCAUCCAGUCUGGAAAGUCUGUAUGGAGCUUUGUGGCAGGCAGACUGGCCUUUUUAACUUUUAUUUUUAUUUUUUUUAAAUAAAACUCCUGGGACUGACUGGAAAAGGUCAGGCCCAGUCCCAGCUGAGUGGAAGUGUGGGAAGAUCGUUAUCAUGUUCCUGCAUGAAAAUGUGCUUUGAAGAGUGCAGACAGAGAGGAUCGGUGGCAUUUGUGGAGGGUACAAAAUAUAUGAAGGGAUCAGAUUUAAUUUAGCUUAAGUUUCAUAAUUAUUCUGUUAUGUUUCGUCAACGACACACACUCACACGCACAUGCACAGACAUGUGCUUUAAAUGAUGUGACACAAUACUGGCAUAGAUUGUGAGCCAGAAGCCGCUCGCUAAUGUUUCUCGGAGGGAUUGCGCAACCUUCAGCUUCACCAGCAAAGCGGCGCUAAUUGAACAAGUAAAACUGCAUUAUUUAGGAGCGGCAUGUUAACCACAUAAGCUGCCUGCAGGCUGAACUCUCCGCUGUGACAAACAGGCAUGGGAUCCUAACAGUCACAAACCCUUUCCCCACUUUUCCUCAUCACUCCUAUCCUCCUUUUGUGACUGUAAGCCUUUUUUAAAAAUAAUUUAUGAUGAUGUUUUUCUUAGUCGCCUUCCUUUUCUGCUCUUUCUCAUCCCAUCCUCAGCCUUCUUUAUUUUGUCCUUUUCCUUAAGUGCUUUUCCUCUUGCCCCCUCCCUUCUUUGUGUGUGUGUCUGUGUGUGCCAUCUGAGGUUGUUUUUCUUUUUCAUGCUCCCAGGCCUACUGUGUGCUGCCAGACCCCCACAGCCAACCAAGAUCUGUGCCCAAAAUUCCUCACUACUGACCAGCCCUUCAUAUUGUGUGCGCAUUUGUGUGUGUGUAUGAAACUGGUUCAAACUCUGUACUGUCCCUGUUCCCGUGCUAUACUGUGAUUUCCCAGAACCUCUAAAUUGACCUAAACAUAAUGGAGUCACUGUGCGUGUAGAUGGCAUAAGGUUUCAGAGCCACACCUGACUGAAAUGCAGAUGGGAGGAGUAUCAGAUGGUUGGAAAUAGAGGAGGAAAAAACGCUUGUACUGUGAGAAUUUGUCAAGAAACAGGGUGGCUGUGAAAUUAGUGUCAGAGUUUCACACUUAGUGGACACAUACCUCCCCCAUUGGCUUGUCUGUGACGGGGUGUAGCAGCUCUGAGACCGUGGGUAUGUGCGAGCUGUCACGUCUGCCUCACUGAGUCAGGCAGCACGACCAGUCAGCAGUAAAUAGUUGUCGGGGCGGGGGUUUUGGGGGGUUGUAUAUUUACCCAGGAUUGCCUUUCUUUAUGUUGCAAUCACAGUUUACAGUUUGCGAUCAGAUAUCUAAACGUGCCUCUGGGAUGAAUAAACGGUGAAUUUAUCAAACUAAAAGAGGUUUCCCCAUCAGAGUGACGAGGUUUACUUCAGACAGAGGUGGGAGGAUUAGGAUCAAACCUGCUCUGAUCAUAAAUAUUGUGACUAACUGGCUGAAGGUUUAAUUCCAAUAAAAAAAAAACACACCCAAAUGCAAAUAAGGAGCUGAUUAUUACUGUAUCCCUUUAAACGAAUUGUGGGGUUGGGCACUCAUGUCAUAAUGAGGAUGUCAAUGUACACUUUAAGCCCUGCAUGACUGUUUAAAAAGGUGUACAUCAUAUAAGAGAUAUCAUAUAUAACCAUAUUUAAUGAAAAAAAAGCUCAGCAUUUAAAAAAUAAUAUUGAUAAAUUCAGCUUUUCAUCUUUAGCCAACCAUGACAAAACAAUUAUACUGCAGGUCUCUGGACACUGAAGUCUGAAGCUCCCUGUCCAUCCAUCAUCGAUCCUACAAAGACAUCACACCCGGAGAAAAUCGUGCCUGCUUUGUGUCACAUCUUGCAUCCUUUUUGCUUCACUUUGUGGGUUUUUGUGUGCAAAUAUUUGCAGUUGUGCAACCCUUAAACAUCAAUUUUUCCCUUCUUCUGCUUUUGUCAAUUUGUAAAGACCCCAAAGGGAAGUAAAACAUCUACCAGUGCAGAUGCCAGUUAUUCAUUCCAUACUUCACUGUUGCCCUUCAAUUGUACCUCAAAAGAAUUACUGUAAUCAUUACUGAUAGGAAAUCUUGCUAAGUGGUUAGAUGGUAUUAUUCCUUUAUGUAUUUUAUCUGAAAGUGCAGUAAAUAUCUCCUCAGUUUCCAGUUUGUCUGGUAACAGUUAAAUGUGAACAUUUAUUAGACUGGCAUGUGAGGAAUGAGCGCUUGCACUUCUCUGCACAGCUACAAUAGAAACUGUCAACGUCCAUCAGCUCCUUCUGCUCCAUUUCACCUGACCUAUUUCUUAACCUGAUUAGCCUAAAAUAAAUACCUUUUUUCUUUCUAAGCAGCUACAGCUCUGUGCCGUCAUGUGACCCUUUAUCUCCCCACUGCAGAAAGGCGGACAGUCCGCAGGGAAAUCAUGAAUUUGACAGACAUGUCUGGGUCGAGCUCUGCAGAUAGGUCGAGGUUGAGCAGCUGUUUUUUUUUUUUUUUUUAAAGUUUGAUUUUUGCUCUUCAAUAUCAGUUAAAACAACAGAUUUAGAGGCAAAUUUGAGAAACUGAAGUUUUUGCUGAUAUGAGAUAUGAGGCUGUCAGCUGUGACGUGCCUACAUCAGACGACCUCUGUGUAAAAUGUCUUUGCUUGUCAAAAGAGAGCUUAUCAUUCGCCCUGGCUGCUGUAGUGCACUGACGUCCUGUUCCAGGAUUAGACGGCGUGGAGGGUGGUGGUGAUGGAGUGGUAAAUAGUGACUGAGUGGUUGGUUGCUGGGCCGCCGUGCCAUUCGGUGAUACUGUCAGCUUACAUUAAGCGGUCGCGCUGGUGAAGCGCAGCAUCAUAAUUCCAUUAAACGGUGACCUGGUGAGGAGACGAUGAACUGUCAGCAGAGCUGCUGUGGCUGUGAUGAGGCGGCUUAAGUGCGAGCUGUGGAAGAAGUGUUGUCACGAUGGUUUAACUCGGCUUACUUCAUAUUUGAGAGAAAGCUCGUGGAAGAUUUGCGUACUUUCCAAUCAGCUCACUUAUAUUUAUGUCUUUCUUCACUUCUUUCUCUCCUCAGGCAUCUCUAUCAUGGGUGUGAAGAUGUUACAGUGCUUUCCCUUCUACAGACGCUGCAAAGAGCGCUGCAAGAGCAGGCAGUGCCCGCCCCCUCCAGUGCCUGUGGAGGAGAUGAAGCCACGUCUGUCCUCUACGACAUCCUGGGGCAGUGACAGCGAAGGAACAGGAAGCAUCAAUCGGGGUUCCCAGAUCUAUUUCUCCACCAAGGCCCGGCUUUCUUUCAGACACCAGCUGGACAGCAACAUCAAUGCAGUGGAUGCCACCUACUGAGGAAGACCCAGGGCUUCAUAGGACUUGAAUGGACUCAGUUUUCCAUCGCCGGUUUAUGCUUGGAGCCCGCUAGUAGAGCAAACACAUUUUGACGCCACCUUUAAAUGGGAAUGGCGGUAGAGUUGCGGAACCACAGUUUGUCUUUUAACUGCUUGUUCCUCGCUGCUCGCACACAACUGCUAAUGAUUCGUCAGAUUCAAAGGACAGAGGGAAAAGGACUGGGAUGAGACGGCGCUCAGAAGUCAGACGAGUAGAUCCGCUGCCCAAUCGGGCAUACUGAUGAGGGCGAGGACAAUGUAGAGAGUUGUUUACAGCGUUCACUACCAAUAAGUGCAUUACUUUGUCUUCUGUUUGGAAGGUGUUUUUUUUUUCUUACUGUGUUUCUUUUAUAUUUCUUUUUUUUUUUUGACUACCUUUGUAGAAAAAGAUCAAUUUGCUGAUUAGAUCAUGGCUGGAGUUAAUUAAGGCUGUUUCACAAAGCAAGAGGAGGAAGAUAGCAUUGAGUGUGAUGAAGUGUGUGACUAUCUAAACCUCAUCAUUAAGUCAUCAUCGUGAAGUAACUUUCUAAUCCUGCUCUGUGACACAGAACCCUGCUAGUUUAAAGUGAGAUAAUAAAACAGAAAAUGGUUUGCUGUUUUAUAAAAGACAUUAACUGUAAAAACAUGAGGUGGGACUGUGUGCAACAUCUGCUGACCAGGUCUGAGCCUGUUUAACAGCAGUGUUGUUAAUAGUUAAUAUUCAUCUGUGAGAUCUACGGUGGCCCUGAUACUUCAGAAAGGCUUGCUGAAAUCCAGUUGUGUUGUGCACCACAGGGCAACCGUAUGAAAUAAGCCGAGCUACACAGCAGCUUAUUUCUGAUAGGUAUUUUCUUAGUCUUGCUUGAUUCUGAUCAAUAUUUUUAAUUAGAAAAAAAGACGCUCUGGCUGUGUUUUUAAAUUGCACGUUUUUUGUUUUUUUUUUUUUUGUAAGAAAACCUUUCUGUAUUUGCCCAAAUUGAAAAACUAUGACUGUUAAAUGCUGAUCAAAAAAAAAAAAAGACUAAUGAUCACUUGUUCAAAUCCAGAGUAUGUCAAAAAUAUCUUCAUUCUAAACUAAGCAAAUAUAAAAUAAGUUGUAACAAAAUGUCUCCGGUGUGUUUUUUUUGGGCUGGGGGAUAUAUUGCUUGACAAUGUUGUGAAGACACAAGGAUACCAAAUAUUGGCAUUUUCUAAAAACUAAAUUCAAAUACUCCAGGAAUGCUACAAACAAGAGGGCUCCUCUCGUGCACGACCAUCUGCAAAAAACGUCACCCAAGAAAACUCGCGGUUCAACACUGGACACUGACCUUAACAAAGCUGCUUCCUAACUCAGAAUAAGCUCAGGCACAUGAGCUCAACUCGACUGGCUGCCUAUUGUUUGUUUUCUGGUUAUAUUACUAUGGAACAGGAAGUUUAC
ensembl:lncRNA